CCACGCUGCCCUGACUCUGCCAUGGGCACCAGGCUCCUCUGCUGGGCAGCCUGUGUCUCCUGGGGGCAGACCACACAGGUGCUGGAGUCUCCCCAUCCCUGAGACACAAGGUAGCAAAGAAGGGAAAGGAUGUAGCUCUCAGAUAUGAUCCAAUUUCAGGUCAUAAUGUCCUUUAUUGAUAACGACAGAGCCUGGGGCAGGGCCUGGAGUUUCCAAUUUACUUCCAAGACAAGGAUGCAGCAGACAAACUGGAGCUUCCCCGUGAUUGGUUCUCUGCAGAGGCCUGAGGAAUCUGUCUGCAUUCUGAAGAUCCAGCGCACACAGCAGGGGGACUCGGCCAUGUAUCUCUGUGCCAGCAGCUCAGCCACAGCACCGAAGCUGCGUGCACAACUGCUCCAGUGUCAGCUUGGCUCCCUAGGAAAUGGCGUUUCUAGAACCUGA